GGAUGAGAUGCUUUGAUGAGCUGACUCAACUUCGGGAGAAGAGCAGCUUCGAUGAGCCGCCUGGCCAAUGCCGGAUUGGCCAGAGCUGACUCACCCUUGGAGAUCUAGAUGUCUACAAGGUUUGGAAGGCCAACAGAUGACCCAUCAUUGGCCGAGAUCAUUGGCGCCUUCCCCCGAUCUUUGGUCGGCAAUCCCACGCUUG
rnacentral:lncRNA from 1 species